CUUGACAUCCCUUGCAAAGCUAUGGAGACAGUAGUGGAGGUUAUCAAGGAGACAGGUGGUGCAUGGUUGUCGUCAGCUCGUGUCGUGAGAUGUUGGGUUAAGUCCCGCAACGAGCGCAACCCUUAUUGCUAGUUACCAUCAUUAAGUUGGGGACUCUAGCGAGACUGCCAGUGAUAAACUGGAGGAAGGUGGGGAUGACGUCAAAUCAUCAUGCCCCUUAUGACCUGGGCUACAAACGUGAUACAAUGGCUGAAACAAAGGGCAGCGAAGCAGUGAUGUGGAGCGAAACCCAAAAAAGCAGUCCCAGUUCGGAUUGAAGUCUGCAACUCGACUUCAUGAAGUUGGAAUCGCUAGUAAUCGUAGAUCAGAACGCUACGGUGAAUACGUUCUCGGGGUUU
rnacentral:rRNA from 1 species